GGUCACCUACGGGACGCAGCAGUGGGGGAUAUUGCACAAUGGGCGCAAGCCUGAUGCAGCGACGCCGCGUGAGCGAAGAAGUAUUUCGGUAUGUAAAGCUCUAUCAGCAGGGAAGAAAAUGACGGUACCUGACUAAGAAGCUCCGGCUAAAUACGUGCCAGCAGCCGCGGUAAUACGUAUGGAGCAAGCGUUAUCCGGAUUUACUGGGUGUAAAGGGAGCGUAGGCGGCUCUGUAAGUCUGAUGUGAAAAUUUGGGGCUCAAC
rnacentral:rRNA from 1 species